GGGGGAUUAGCUCAGCUGGGAGAGCGCCUGCUUUGCACGCAGGAGGUCAUCGGUUCGAUCCCGUUAUCCUCCACCA
rnacentral:tRNA from 1 species